rfam:Tetrapisispora phaffii CBS 4417 chromosome 11, complete genome
GGGCGCGUGGCGUAGUUGGUAGCGCGCUUGCCUUGCAAGCAAGAGGUCACUGGUUCGAUUCCUGUCGCGUCCA